AUGAAGUCCGUGCACAAAAAAAUCUGCCCCCUAUACUAUAUACACGUUUCACUAUUGGGUCGGGUCGGGUGAGCCGGCCCAAAACUAAAUAACUGUUGGGCUCAGAUACACAGUCCAAUCAUCAUAGCCCAGCAUAAAAUAUACCAUGAGUAUACAGUAAACAUACAAUGUGUAUACACUAAAUAUACAAGUCUAUACAAGUCUAUGUCACGUAUAUUCUCUCAUCUCAACACCCCCCCUCAAGUUGGAGGGGAGACCACCUGCAACUUGAGCAACAAGGGAUGAAGCACAAUGCCAGGCAAAGGCUUUGUCAGAAGGUCAGCCAGCUGACGAGUAGUAGGGACAUGAAAUAGGU
rnacentral:lncRNA from 1 species